GCGCUGCUACUUUCACAGUAAAUUCUUUAAGGCGCAGCGCAGACGACAGACUAUCCGUGACACACUUUUUUGUCUGUGGAAAUAGAACAAAUGCAAUGGCGAAAGUUGCUAG